ensembl:lncRNA
GGUGACUGUAAUCAAAAGUGAAGGGAGAAGAGAGGAAACAGAAGACCUUGAAAAUAUAGGUUGGGAUUCGUUCAUAAUGCAAAGGUGUAUUGGAAGCCUUCUGAACGUGUGACUCUGUACUGAUUGGUCUCAAUGGAAGCCAGAAAUAUUUUGAUUACAGGAUGGAUGCGUCUUUUUUUUUAAGGGGAUCUUUCUGAGCCAAGCAUCAAACCCACGUCUUCUGCAUUGGGAGGCCCAUUCUUUACCACUGAGCCACCAAGGAAGCCACAGAAAGGGAGACACCCUCACAAAUGAAGAUUUCCUUUAUAAAUGUAAAUUUCCUUUGCUGCUGCUAAGUCGCUUCAGUUGUGUCCGACUCUGUGCGACCCCAUUGACAGCAGCCCACUAGGUUCCUCUGUCCCUGGGAUUCUCCAGGCAAG